rnacentral:rRNA from 1 species
AGUGAACGCUGGCGGCGUGCUUAACACAUGCAAGUCGAACGAGAACGGAUUAUAGCUUGCUAUAAUUGUCAGCUAAGUGGCGCACGGGUGAGUAAUGUAUAGGUAAUAUGCCUCUUACUAAGGGAUAACAAAUGGAAACGUUUGCUAAUACCUUAUACUCCUUAUUAACAUAAGUUAAUAAGGGAAAGAUUUAUUGGUAAGAGAUUAGCCUGUAUUGUAUCAGUUAGUUGGUGGGGUAAUGGCUUACCAAGACUAUGACACAUAACUGGUUUGAGAGGAUGAUCAGUCACACUGGAACUGAGACACGGUCCAGACUCCUACGGGAGGCAGCAGUGGGGAAUAUUGCGCAAUGGACGAAAGUCUGAUGCAGCAACGCCGCGUGGAGGAUGACACAUUUCGGUGCGUAAACUCCUUUUAUAUGAGAAGAUAAUGACGGUAUUAUAUGAAUAAGCACCGGCUAACUCCGUGCCAGCCGCCGCGGUAA